rnacentral:rRNA from 1 species
CGGUAAUUCCAGCUCCAAUAGCGUAUACUAACGUUGUUGCAGUUAAAAAGCUCGUAGUUGGAUUUCUGUUAGGGUGAGGCGGCCGGCCACUCGUGGUUGUAGCUUGUUAUCACCUUGGCAUCUUGUCACAAUCCGUGAUGGCAUUAACUUGUUGUCGCUGGGGACUGACUCGUUUACUUUGAGAAAAUUAGAGUGUUCAAAGCAGGCUAUCGCCUUGAAUAUAUUAGCAUGGAAUAAUAAUAUAGGACUUUGGUUCUAUUUUGUUGGUUGUUCGAGAACCGAAGUAAUGAUUGAUAGGGACAGUUGGGGGCGUCAGUAUUCUGAAGCGAGAGGUGAAAUUCUUGGACCUUCGGAAGACUAACAACUGCGAAAGCAUUCGCCUAGGAUGUUCUCUUUAAUCAAGAACGAAAGUUGGGGGAUCGAAGACGAUCAGAUACCGUCGUAGUCUCAACUAUAAACUAUGCCAGCUAGGGAUUGGUGGACGUUUUCGUACGACUCCAUCAGCACCUUAUGAGAAAUCAAAGCAUUUGGGUUCCGGGGGGAGUAUGGUCGCAAGGCUGAAACUUAAAGGAAUUGACGGGAGGGCACCACCAGGAGUGGAGCCUGUGGCUUAAUUUGGCUCAACACGGGAAAACUUACCAGGUCCGGACAUAGUAAGGAUUGACAGAUUGAUAGCUCUUUCUUGAUUCUAUGGGUGGUGGUGCAUGGCCGUUCUUAGUUGGUGGAGUGAUUUGUCUGGUUAAUUCUGUUAACGAACGAGACCCCAGCCUGCUAAAUAGUUCGCUCGUGGUUUCCACGGUGCUAACUUCUUAGAGGGACUAUUCUGUGUAUAACGAAUGGAAGUUUGGGGCAAUACCAGGUCUGUGAUGCCCUUAGAUGUUCUGGUCCGCACACGGGCUACACUGCGAGGUUCAACAAGCUUCAUACCCUGGUCCGAUAGGAUUGGGCAAUCUUUUGAACUCCUCGCGCGAUAGGGAUAGACUAUUGCAAUUGUUAGUCUUCAACGAGGAAUUCCUAGUAAACGCGAGUCAUCAACUCGCAUUGAUUACGUCCCUGCCCUUUGUACACACCGCCCGUCGCUCCUACCGAUGAAUGUUCCGAUGAAAUUUUCGGAGAGUGCCUGUGAAGCCGGCUCCGCCUGUCGAACGGGAUGCUCAAAGUCACUUAAAUCUGAACAUUUCGAGGAAGGAGAAGUCGUAACAAGGUAACC